rnacentral:pre_miRNA from 1 species
UCUUACGGAUGAGCAAAGAAAGUGGUUUCUUGAGAUGGAAUUCACUUUUGGUGAAGAUUCUGUGAA